GUAUUUCAGCCGACCUUAUCCUCUAUAUACAUAGUGUUUAAGAAACUUUACCAUUUUGGGGGAAAGGAGGGAAUUGUUAGAUAUACAUAUCUAUGUUGCAGCAACUAUGUGAGGAGAAAUUCCAUCUUGCUCGUUCCUGUUUCUGUAUCACAGUGAAGUGCACAAAGUUUCCUCUACGUACAAAUUCUCCAUAUUUUCAU
rnacentral:lncRNA from 1 species